rnacentral:lncRNA from 10 species
UUGUGCCCGAUAUGCCAAAGGGAGGAGAGUAUAAUGAGGCAUGUUCAACGCCCUCCUCCCAUCAUGGCCUGAACUAGUUUUUCAGGUUUCUUUGAAAUCCCCUUGGCUGAGAGGACGGGUCCAUUCAAUUUGGUUGUGGGGCUUAGAAUUUUAUUUUCGGUUUACAGGGAUAAGCUUUAGCAUUGCUUUUAGGUAGUGUUGGCAGUAUAAGGCAUAGUUAGGUGGGGAAAAAGGAUGGUAAAAAGAGGAGAAAGAGAAGACCUUUUAAAGAUGAAGAAGGAGGUUAGCUGAUGGGAAGAAGAGAAAAGUACAAAUGGCUAGGGAGUGGCCAAGCCCUCCCACACCCACCUCCAUUGUCUCUGGGGAAUAUUGAGAGAGGUGCCUCUUGGAAAGAGGGUAUCAGGAAGAAGGAGACAGGCCCUCAGCACCUGAGGGAACUCUCCCAGCAGUUCUCAGAGAUGGAGUGUCACUCUGUCUCCCAGGCUGGAGUGCAGCGGCAUGAUCUCGGCUUACUGCAACCUCCGUCUCCCAGGUUCAAGUGAUUCUUCUGCCUCAGCCUCCCAAGUAGCUGGUGAGAGGUGACAGCGUGCUGGCAGCCCUCACAGUCCUCGCUCGCUCUCCGCACAUCCUCUGCCUGGGCUCCCACUUUGGCGGCACUUGAGGAGCACUUCAGCCCGCGGCUGCACUGUGGGAGCCCCUUCCUGGGCUGGCCGAGGCCGGAGCCGGCACCCUCAGCUUGAGGGGAGGUGUGGAGGGAGAGGCGCGGGCGGGAACCGGGGCUUCCCGUGAUGCUUGUGGGCCAGCGCGAGUUCCGGGUAGGCUUGGGCUCGGCGGUCCCCGCGCUCGGAGCGGCCAGCGGGCCCCGCCGGCCCCGGGCAGUGAGGGGCUUAGCACCUGGGCUGGCGGCGGCGGAGGGUGUAGUGGGUCCCCCAGCAGUGCCGGCCCACCAGCGCUGCGCUCAAUUUCUCGCCGGGCCAUAGCUGCCUUCCCGCGGGGCAGGGCUCAGGACCUACAGCCCGUCAUGCCUUAGCCUGCCCCCGCCUCCGUGGGCUCCUGUGCAGCCCCAGCCUCCCAGACGAGCACCGCUCUCUGCUCCACGGCGCCUAGUCCCAUUGACCACCCAAGGGCUGAGGAGUGUGGGCGCAGGGCGCGGGACUGGCAGGCAGCUCCACCUGCAGCCCUCUUGCUGGAUCCACUGGGUGAAGCCAGCUGGGCUCCUGAGUCUGGUGGGGACUUGGAGAACCUUUAUGUCUAGCUAAGGGAUUGUAAAUACACCAAUCAGCACCCUGUGUCUAGCUCAGGGUUUGUGAAUGCACCAAUCCACACUCUGUAUCUAGCUAGUCUGGUGGGGACUUGGAGAACCUUUAUGUCUAGCAAAGGGAUUGUAUAUACACCAAUCAGCACCCUGUGUCUAGCUCAGGGUUUGUAAAUGCACCAAUCAACACUCUGUAUCUAGCUAGUCUGGUGGGGCCUUGGAGAAACUUUAUGUCUAGCUACGGGAUUGUAAAUACACCAAUCAGCACCCUGUGUCUAGCUCAAGGUUUGUAAACACACCAAUCAGCACCCUGUGUCUAGCUCAGGGUUUGUGAAUGCACCAAUUGACACUCUGUAUCUAGCUACUCUGGUGGGGACUUGGAGAGCCUUUGUGUCCACACUCUGUAUCUAGCUAAUCUAUUGGGGACUUGGAGAACCUUUGUGUCUAGCUCAGGGAUUGUAAACGCACCAAUCAGUGCCCUGUCAAAACAGACCACUCGGCUCUCUGUAAAAUGGACCAAUCAGCAGGAUGGGGGUGGGGCCAGAUAAGAGAAUAAAAGCAGGCUGCCGGAGCCUGCAGUGGCAACCCGCCCCCGUCCCUUUCAACACUGUGGAAGCUUUGUUUUUUCACUCUUUGCAAUAUAUCUUGCUGCUGCUCACUCUUUGGGUCUACACUGCUUUUAUGAGCUAUAACACUCACUGUGAAGGUCUGCAGCUUCACUCCUGAGCCAGCGAGACCAUGAUCCCAGCAGAAGGAAGAAACUCCGAACACAUCCGAACAUCAGAAGGAACAAACUCCACACGUGCCACCUUAAGAGCUGCAACACUCACUGCGAGGGUCUGCAGCUUCAUUCUUGAAGUCAGUGAGACCAAGAACCCACCAAUUCUGGACACACUGGGAUUACAGGUGCAUGCCGCCACGUCCAGCUAAUUUUUGUAUUUUUAGUAGAGACAGGGUUUCAACACGUUGGCCAGGCUGGUUUUGAACUCCUGACCUCAGGUGAUCCACCCGCCUUGGCCUCCCAAAGUGUUGGGAUUACAGAUAUCAGACACUGCCUGGCCGGUUAUGUCUUUCUUGAUUCUAAUCAGUAUGUACAUAAUUUUGCAUAGAUAUAUUGAUUAGGGAGGCAUUUAUGAAGGGCAGGUAGUGGAGAGGCUGGGGUAAGGUUAGGUAAUAGGAGUUCUAGGGGAUUCCAUACUUUGGCCUAUAAUGGAAUUGUAGCCUACCCAGCACUUUAAACAUUCCCGAUUGACUCCAAUAUUUGUUCUUCUAGCCACUCCUUCCCCUCUCAGCCAAUGUACUUAGGGAGAAGCUGAUCCCAUGCUAAGUUCCAGGAAUGGGCUUUAUUUUCCAGGAAUGAAUCCAUACCCUUUCCAGUAAAGGGCUCUGGAAUCCAGGUCUAAUGAGUCCAUACCCUUUCCAGUAAAGGGCUCUGGAAUCCAGGUCUAAGUGCCAUGUGAUUGGUUUAGGAAUGGACCAAUGAGACACUGUGAGGAAGUUUCCUGAGGGCUUCUGGGAAUUUUCUCAUAAUAGAAAGCUACCAGAAUUCACAGGCCCUUUUCAUCUUGACUUCUUGUCCAUAGACCUGAGGCCAGGGGCUGUGGCAGGCAUUUUGUAGGCAGCCUAAGGGUGAAACAUGCACAAGAGAGAACAAGACAACACCACAGAGAAGCAGAGCUCAGUAAUGGCUGAGCCCUGCCUCACCUCCACCAUUCCUAGACCUUCUCAGUCUCUUAGCCAAUGAACAGCCUUGAUUUUAAAGCAAUUUUUAUUUGAGUUUUUGCUUCUGGAAGCCAAAACAAACAUUUUAGCCUAUGGAAUCCCAAUUUAUACUUAACGUUUUUAUUUGUUAAUCUUUAAGUUUCAGAAUUCUUUUCUGAUUAUAAAAAUAAUACAUACUUAUUGUAGAGAACCAAGAAAACAUUGAAAGAUAUAAAGAAGAACAUUAAGACCAUCCAUAAUCUCACUAUCCCUAGAUAACUGCUAUUGAGUUUUGAGUUAGUUUCCUCUUUAUGUAUCCAAACUUACACAGAAAUUUUACACAUAUAUUUAUCCUGCUUUAAUGAAAUUCACAGCCUAGUGGGAAAUAGAAACAGACAAACAAAAACCGAACAAAUAGAUGAAUAUCUGCGACUAUGGAACGUCAUAGUAACUACUAACCUUGUGUUCACUGUUUUUGGGUAAAUGUUGCUAAUAAUGUUAUACCCCAUCUCCACAACCCAGAACAAAUCAAAGAUUUAUGUUAAUAACUAUUAAAAUAUAAUAUGCUCUAAAGUAUAACAAUGUCUCAUAAUGCCACAAAAUCAACCAGUUACCAAUAUGUUCAUUUGGUUUCCCUUCAGUAGGAUUUCUUAUGGGAAAUUGUCCCCUGUCAGUGACUGGUUUCGCUCAACUGUCAUUAGGUCUUGUCACAGUAGUUUAAUUACAGCAAAAAUGGCUGUUAUAUUGAUCAUUUUGACAACACACACACAAAAGGUUCAGUAUUCAUCAGUGUGCUGGGUAAAAACCCUUGGAGCAGGGCCCUCAAGAGGAUGGAAGUUACAUUGCUAUGAUUAGUACCAAGCCCAUCAGUUCUAAAUGUUUUCUAAUUUCUAUUAUGAUUUUAUGACCCAUGAGUUAAUUGGAAUAGUGGAAAUAUGGGGCUUGCCAGUUACCUUUUGGUUAUUGAUUUUUAACUUACCUAUAUAGUGACCAGAAAAUGUGGUUACUAUGAUAUAAAUCCUUAGAUAUGUGGAGACUUGCUUUAUGACACAGUAUGUUCAAUUUUUGUAAAUGUUUAGCAUAUUCUUGAUAGGAGUGUGUAUUCUAUGGUCAUUAAGGCAAUAUUCUACACAUAUAUAUUAGAUUAAGCUUGGUAAUUGUGUUACUCAACUCUUCCAGUACCUUAAAGAUUUUUUUGGUCCCCUCGGUCUAUGUAUUAGUUUCCUGUAAUCAGUUGCUUAACAAAUUAUCACAAUAGGUGGCUUAAAAAAACCGACAUGAAUUCUCAGUUCUGGCAUCUAGAAGUCUGAAAUCUACAUGUUGGCAGGGUCACAAUCCCUCCAGAGGCUCAAGAGGAAAAUUUGUCUCUUCCAGCUUUGGGUGCUGUCAGCAUUCCUUGACUUGGGAAUGCCAUCACUCCAAUCUCUGCUUCUGUGGUUACAUUACCUUCUCUUCUCUUCUACCUCUCUUUUAUAAAGACACCUAUCAUUGGAUUGAUGGCCCACCUGGAUAAUCCAGGAUGAUCUUCUCAUCUCAAGAACUUUAAUUACAUCUGCAAACGCCGUUUUUCCAAAUAAGGUCAUACUCGCAAGUUCUAGGAAUUAGGAUAUGGACAUAUCUUGUGGGAGGCUGUAUUCAACUCACUGCAAUUAGAGAGGGAGUGAAAAAUCACCUACUCUGAUGGUAGAUUUCUUUGUCUUCUUAUACUUCUGUUCAUUUUCGCUUCAUAUAUUUUGUGGCCAUAUAGUCGCUAUGAUAUAAAUCCUUAGAUAUGUAAAGACUUGCUUUAUGACACAGUAUGUUAGAGACACUUUUUUGACUCUAUCUUCCCUGUAUAUUGGACUUUUUUUUUAAAUGUAAAGACCCUUCUUUAUCCCAUCGCACUCACCCAGCCAUCUACCUAGAGUCUGUUGAUGAUAAACCAUUAGUUGUUUGAAACAGAAUUUGCCUUCCUUCUGCCUCUCUUUUUGCC